rnacentral:lncRNA from 1 species
AGCCACAGCAACAUGGCGGCACUUCGGCAAUUUCCGGACCCCUUCGGCAACUUCCGGACUCCCUCGGCAAUUUCCGGACCCUUUCGGCUCUUUCCGAGCCCCGGUUCGGUCUCUCCGUCUAUUUCCGGUCCGCUCCGCUUACUUCCGGCCCGGUUCCGUUAAUUCCGCUUCGGCUCUUUCCGGACGAGCUCGGCUCUUUUCGGCUCGGUUCCGAUUCCUCCGGCCUAGUUGGGCCCAGUUUGUCCCAGUUCCAGCCCAGUUCGGCCCAGUUUGGGCCCAGUUCAGCGUCUCCGGCCGCCCCUCAGCCCCCGGCCCGGCCCAUGGGCUCCUCCCCCGCCGCAGGAGGAGGACGAGGAUGAGGAGGACGAGGAGGAAGAGCCCGGGACGGCUCUGAGGAGCCGCUUCAAGGCAUGGCCGGACCCUCAGGAGGGUCCGCUUCGCCUCCGGUUCGGCUCCGCUUCGGUUCCGCCGUUCGGCUCUUUCCGUGUCCCGCUUCGGUGGCGCUCGGCUCCGUUCGGCUUUUUCCGGCUCUUUUCGGCUCCGCUCGCUCCCGGCGCACUGCGGCGCCUGAGGGGAGGGGGGGCGGGACCAGCGCGGUGACGUCAGAAAAUGGGCGGGGCUUAACGAAACCACGCCCCCAGCCGGAACCGGUCCCUCCCCGGUGUCCCCGAAAGGGUCGCGAUGUCCCCAAGGGUGCCCCCGGUGUCCCCAAGGGUGUCCCCGGUGUCCCCAGGGGUGUCCCAGUGUCCCCAAAUCCUUCCCAGGGUCCCCAAGGGUGUCCCAGGGUCCCCAAAAUGUCCCCAAGUCCCUCCCAGUGUCCCCAAGGGUGUCCCCGGUGUCCCCAAGGCCCUCCCGGUGUCCCCAAGGAUGUCCCCAAGUCCCUUUCAGUGUCCCCAAGUCCCUCCUGGUGUCCCCAAGUCCCUCCUGGUGUCCCCAAGGAUGUCCCCAUGUCCCUCUCGGUGUCCCCAGGGUGUCCCAGUGUCCCCAGGUGUCCCCAGGGUGUCCCCAAGUCCCCAAAUCCUUCCCAGUGUCCCCAAGGAUGUCCCCAAGUCCCUCCUGGUGUCCCCAGGGGUGUCCCCAGGUCCCUCCCAGUGUCCCCAAAUCCAUCCCAGGGUCCCCAAAUCCAUCACCAGGGGUGUCCUCGUGUCCCCAGAGAUGUCCUGGUGUCCCCAAGGCUCUCCCGGUGUCCCCAGAGAUGUCCCGAGGUCCCUCCCGGUGUCCCCAGGGGUGUCCCAGUGUCCCCAAAUCCUUCCCAGGGUUCCCCAGAGAUGUCCCCAAGUCCCCCCCGGUGUCCCCAGAGAUGUCCCCAGGUCCCUCUCGGUGUCCCCAGGUCCCUCCUGGUGUCCCCAAGUCCCUCCCGGUGUCCCCAGGGCUGUCCCCAAGUCCCUUUCAGUGUCCCCAAGUCCCUCCCGGUGUCCCCAAAUCCAUCCCCAGCUUGUCCCAGUGUCCCCAGGUCCCUCCUGGUGUCCCCAAGGCCCUCCCGGUGUCCCCAAGGAUGUCCCCAAGUCCCUCCGGUGUCCCCAAGUCCAUCCCAGGGUCCCCAAAUCCAUCACCAGGGGUGUCCUCGUGUCCCCAGAGAUGUCCCCAGGUCCCUCCUGGUGUCCCCAAGUCCCCCCCGGUGUCCCCAGGGCUGUCCCCAAGACCCUUUCAGUGUCCCCAGGGGUGUCCCCAAGUCCCUCCCGGUGUCCCCAAGGAUGUCCCCAAGUCCCUUUCAGUGUCCCCAAGGAUGUCCCAGUGUCCCCAAAUCCUUCCCAAGGUCCCCAGAGAUGUCCCCAAGUCCCUCCUGGUGUCCCCAAGUCCCUCCCGGUGUCCCCAGGGCUGUCCCCAA